rnacentral:lncRNA from 1 species
GAGGAGGAGACUGCCAGGAAGAAGUUCCUGGAGGCCUGGAGUAUGGCACGGGACUGUUAAUGCGGUUCCCUCCAAGGCCUUAUGCUGUCGACACCCUCCGUUACUCACUUCUUUCAAAGCUUCCGAAAAAGGCUUAUUCAAGUAUCAGGAUAUUAUUUUGAAAUCUUACCCAAUGUGGCUUUUGUUACUAGCACUUCCUGCUUUCUGACCUUCACUCUUUCCCCAUCCCCCGUUUUCUCAGCUACAGCAUUUGACUAGAAGAAGGAUGUUAGACCAGAACACACAGACCAGAUUCUUGGCUUUUGACUUUUUUAAACUAUUAGGAUUCCAGGCAUAAAUUACAGAUUUAAGAGUGGCACAGAUGUGUCAGUGACAGCCAGCAGACCUGGGGAGGACUUGCAGUGAGGAAGAGGAAAUCUCACCACCCUCAACUUGCAUAGAGUGCUGUAACAAAGGACAUCUCAACAAAUACCAGUGUGAAGAAGUGAGAAGGAUCAAGAAUCAGACAAGAUGAACUGUUAAGCAAAGGCCAAUGAUACGGUCUCCAUCUGUGUCCCUGCCCAAAUCUCAUGUUGAGUUGUAAUCCCCAAUGUUGGAGGAGGGGGCUGGUGGGAAGUGAUUGGAUCCUGGGGGCAGAUCUCCCUCUUGCUGUUCUCGUAAUAGUGAGUGAAUUCUCACGAGAUCUGGUUGUUUAGAAGUGUGUAGCACCGGCCGGGCACAGUGGCUC